GAUGAACGCUAGCUACAGGCUUAACACAUGCAAGUCGCGGGGCAGCAUGGGGGUUGCUUGCACUCCCCGAUGGCGACCGGCGCACGGGUGAGUAACGCGUAUCCAACCUGCCCUUCACCACGGGAUAACCCGGCGAAAGUCGGACUAAUACCGUAUGUUGUCCAUUGACGGCACCCGAUUUGGUCGAAAGGCUUGGGGGUGAGGGAUGGGGAUGCGUCCGAUUAGCCGGACGGCGGGGUAACGGCCCACCGUGGCUACGAUCGGUAGGGGUUCGGAGAAGAAGGUCCCCCACACUGGAACUGAGCCCCGGUCCAGACUCCUACGGGAGGCAGCAGUGAGGAAUAUUGGUCAAUGGGCGUAAGCCUGAACCAGCCAAGUAGCGUGCAGGAUGACGGCCCUAUGGGUUGUAAACUGCUUUUAUGCGGGGAUAAAGUGGCCCACGUGUGGGCUUUUGCAGGUACCGCAUGAAUAAGGACCGGCUAAUUCCGUG
rnacentral:rRNA from 1 species